rnacentral:lncRNA from 1 species
CCGGAUCACUUGAUUCGUUGCAUUGUAAUGCCCUUUUUCAUACUGUAUUUUGACCUACAGCAAGACCUCACUGAAUGAAUAAGCAAGAAGGGGAUUGAAGGAUUCUCAAUCAAUUGACAGAAUGCCAUCAGCUUCAUGGUGGUUUGGAAUGAAGUAAUGGAGCAAUUUUCAGCAACACCCAAGCAAAAUUCCUUUACAAAAUUGAAUAGAUAACUUGCAAUUUUGAUUCUUUUGAAAUCAUGUGUUUCCAUCAUUCAUAAGAUUCUGGAAACUGAUGGACUAGAG